UGAUCAUAGCUCAGGAUGAACGCUAGCGGUGCGCCUAACACAUGCAAGUCGAGCGGGUUUAUUUGUGACACAGAGUAGGGAAGUAAUUCCACAUUCUGUGUCACAGGUAAUCUAGCGGCAAACGGGUGCGUAACACGUUGAUAUCUCCCCCGAAGUCAGGGAUAGCCUCAAGAAAUUGAGAGUAAUACCGGAUGGUCCCGUAAGGGUAAAGGAGCAAUUCGCUUCGGGAAGAGUCUGCGGCCUAUCAGCUAGUUGGCGGGGUAAUAGCCCACCAAGGCGAUGACGGGUAGCUGGUCUGAGAGGACGGCCAGCCACAAUGGAACUGAGACACGGUCCAUACUCCUACGGGAGGCAGCAGUGAGGAAUCUUCCACAAUGGGCGAAAGCCUGAUGGAGCGACACCGCGUGAAGGAUGAAGCCUUUGUUGGUGUAAACUUCUUUUCUCUUGGAAGAUAAUGACGGUACAAGAGGAAUAAGGGGCGGCAAACUUCGUGCCAGCAGCCGCGGUAAUACGAAGGCCCCAAGCGUUAUCCGGAAUUACUGGGCGUAAAGCGUCUGUAGGUGGUCUGGACAGUCUCAAGUGAAAGGUCAGGGCUCAACCCUGUACUUGCUUGGGAAACUAUCAGACUUGAGUGCGGGAGAGGCAAGCAGAACUGUAUGAGUAGGGGUGCAAUCCGUUGAUACAUACAAGAAUACCAAAAGCGAAGGCAGCUUGCUGGAACGCCACUGACACUGAGAGACGAAAGCGUGGGGAGCAAAAGGGAUUAGAUACCCCUGUAGUCCACGCCCUAAACGGUGCACACUAGGUCUUGGCGGAUUCGACCCCACCAGGGCCCAAGCUAACGCGUUAAGUGUGCCGCCUGAGGACUACGGCCGCAAGGCUAAAACUCAAAGGAAUUGACGGGGGCCCGCACAAGCGGU
rnacentral:rRNA from 1 species